CCUACGGGUGGCAGCAGUGAGGAAUAUUGGUCAAUGGACGAGAGUCUGAACCAGCCAAGUAGCGUGAAGGAUGACUGCCCUAUGGGUUGUAAACUUCUUUUAUAAAGGAAUAAAACGAGGCACGUGUGCCUUUUUGCAUGUACUUUAUGAAUAAGGAUCGGCUAACUCCGUGCCAGCAGCCGCGGUAAUACGGAGGAUCCGAGCGUUAUCCGGAUUUAUUGGGUUUAAAGGGAGCGUAGAUGGGUUGUUAAGUCAGUUGUGAAAGUUUGCGGCUCAACCGUAAAAUUGCAAUUGAUACUGGCAGUCUUGAGUACAGUUGAGGUAGGCGGAAUUCGUGGUGUAGCGGUGAAAUGCGUAGAUAUCACGAAGAACCCCGAGUGCGAAGGCAGCUUACUAAACUGUGACUGACAUUGAUGCUCGAAAGUGUGGGGAUCAAACAGGAUUAGAUACCCGUGUAGUC
rnacentral:rRNA from 1 species